GCAUGCAGCUGCACACCCCUCUUCAAUAGAAGGAUUACAACAAGUUCGCUAGACCCCUGGUGGAAUGUGCACGGAGACCAUCGGGAGGCUCUAGGCCCUUGCUGGCAUAAGCCAGAGCAAUAGCCCCCACUUAUCCAGUGGGAAAGACGCUGUUUGGACACAGGCUUUCUCACAUGAGUCUUUGCCCAAGACACAAAUAACUGGUUACCCUGUCUGAAACUUGGGGCCCUGUCCAAAUAAAUUUGCAGUGCACAAACUGGACACAGAGUAUGCAAACGCCAGUGCUUCUCAGAGGAGAAAGGCAGGGGAUAAAAAGCAACCAGGUCUAUAGUGGAGCACAAGCCCAUAACCUCUGGGAUAAAGGCCGGGUUAGGUUUCAGACUGACAUUAGCAUUCCCUGGAGAAAACUUUUUACAUUCCUGAUGCACAGAAAGUGCAUGGAUCUCACCUAUAUGCUUAGCCGAGGCUAAAGCUAGCAAUAAGGCGGUCUUCAGGGACAACAUUCUCAACACUACUUAUUGCAGUGGUUCAAAAGUGGGACAGGAGAGAGUGUCUAGUACACUGGUUAGAGCCCAUGACGAGGCUAAUGGUCUAGAUGUAAGCAAUUUACGCCAUGCACCCUUCAUGAAUCGCCCACUGACUUCCCAUCAAAGCCAAUGUUGUAGGCAGAGAUAGCUGCCAAGUACACCUUGAUGGUUGAGAAGGCCCUACCUUUCUCAAUAAGGUCCUGUAAAAAGGUCUGAAUCGCUGCCACAGAACACUGACAAUGGACAGCUUCUGACUCUGAACACUAGCUCUCAAACACAUGCCCCUUAUGCUCAUAUAACAUCCUAAUCGAAGACUCUCUGGAGCACUGAAUAGUGUUAAUAACACUAUGAGGGAGUCCAACUGUAUUCAUGUUGAACCACUCAUGGACCAAGCCCAUAGAGCUAGGCUGCAUUGUAAAGGUUCCAUCUUCCCUUCACUGUUCUCCCCUCGUGAGUGGCACCCCAGCCCAUCAGAGAGGCGUCUGGGGUGAUCACCUUUCUUGCCAGUACGGUUCCCAUGGUAACACCUUCAGUCAGGAAAACCUGGGUUUUCCACUGGCGAAGUGCUUGAGAGCAGUCUGCUGAAAUCCUCACCUGAUGGUGGCCAUCACGGUGUGGAUUCAGGCCCAGAGAGGCUACCCAGUUAUGUGUCAUUGUGCUCUUUUUUUCACAUUUAUCUUAAAACCCAGAUUCGGUCUGUCUUUGAGGGGAGAGAUGGAGCCGAGGAAGAGAGGGAGGCCUUUGGUUGAAGGUGGGUCGCUACCAGCGGCUCUAUUGGGGGCAUCUGGCGAACGCCGUGAGACUCAAUCCCCUCACAAUCCUUCAGGGUGGCUCCCAUGAUGGGGUGUUUUUCACUGUAGGGCUAUUCUUUCCAUCCAGGUGUCGCGUCCAAGCUCUCGGAGAUGUCCACUUUUCCCUGCGGCGUUGCUGCUUCCCCCCGACAGGCUAACCCGGCGGGGAAGUAGUUUACAGGGGAAAGCAGUGCAGUGGAUAUACUCAUCAGUAUGGGUUAGGGUAGUCUGGGCGUGGGGUAAGCACAAAGGGGGAAUGUACCAGCCAGAGAUUUUAAUGCUGCAGGGACAAAGCUUCAAGCUUUUCCCGACAUCACUGGUGUUAAUAGCCGUAGCCAUGGUUGGCUAGUGAUCUGCAUCUGCUGAUGCUACCUGUUACAAGGUAUUGCUCCCUGCUGGUAUUGCUAGCGUGACCCUUAUUAGCAGAAGUAUUGCUACUUUUUUGGGGCAAAAGUAUUGCUACUUUUUUGGGGCAAAAGUAUUGCUACUUUUUUGGGGCAAAAGUAUCCCUACUUUAAACCCGAGUCAGUGAAGAGUAUUGCUACUGUUCGUGAACCAGCAAGCAACUGUACAGCUGGGAAUAAAGCGCCCGGUGCACCCAUUCCUUUGGAUAGUUUAGUUUAGCACCCAAUAGCACGGUUGUCGAUGCGCUUCUGUGAGAAGUGAGAAGAGGUUUUUGAAUGACAAUUGACACUGUCAGCCUAUUAUAUUGGAGGAGGGUCCCAUCCCCUCCUGACAUAGACGUCAUUCGUGCCAGCCAGUUAGGGCUCUGACGAGGUCACGCAGGAGGCAUUCCCCAUAGUGAGACAAGAAAAGAAUGCUAUGAAAGAACCAGAAAAUACUUUCUCAGAAAAUGUGAUCCAGUUUUAUUAAAAUCAAUGAAUAAAGUUAAAAAGUUUUUGUACAGUUUGACUUAUUCUGAUUAGAUGGUCUGUGGAUAACGUUUUGAUUGACUAUUUAGCUCAGUUGUCCUGGCCAAAUUUUAAUCAAAAAACGCAAAAUAUUUAACUUUCACACAUUAACCAACUUGAAUUUGCUCAUUUUUUUCUUUGAAAAUUCACACAUUCAGAUACAUGCAUGCAUAUUUUUUCACAUGCACAUAAAAUGUGAUAUACAACUGCAAGCUGUACAAUCAUUUCCCAAGCUCAAAAUAUUAAUGACUCUGAUUUGCUUCCAUUGAAAUAUGGUUUACAGGCUUUCAUUAUAGGUGUGCAAGACAGGCACUGUGGCUGUUCUCCAAUGACACACCUUUGUUUCUUAACACUUGCUGUCUGAUUACUCAUGCAGUGUCACAACUUUGUAAAUACUGUAUACACCAUAUGCAUUUAAAGGUGGGGUCAGUCAUUCUGGAGAAAAAUAGUUGAUUGUUGAGUCUCCUUCACAGGUGAAAUACCGAGGCUUUGAGAGCACAAAAACUACAUAUGUGUGUCUCGGACGACCUGGGAAUGAGACCCAACAUAACAAACAAACUAUCUUUCUCCAGAAUGACUGUCCCCACCUUUAAGGGGGAGGAAAGCAGUAUAACCAAUCUUUCAGAUGAAAACACCUCUGUGUUAGAAAAAAAUGCAAGGGUCUACUAGGCAUGGAACAAUCAGGAAGCAAAUAGUGCCUGGUGAGCCCUAUUUACAAGCAGAUAUUAAGAUACUAAACAUUCAUGGAGACGCCUUGCCUGAAAAUCAACUCUUUCUACAAAAUACUGUGGAAAACUACAAAGGUAGAUCAGUGUUAAGUAUGCCUUUUAGUGUUUUGUGGACUUCCCAGAAAUGUCCUAUUACAUGACAUGUAAUUGGCUUCAUGAAACCCAUACUCCAACAUUUAACAUCCCCAGCAGCAAAAUAUGCUUUCUGCUUCAGUGUAAUAAAGAAACUGAUAAACAUACACUUCCACCUAAACUCCCACCACAUGUGACGGGGUUCCCACGUGUCCUAGAAAACCUGGAAAAGAGAGAAGGUGUUAUGUUAAACAGAGGAACCCACAAGCAGAACACAAACUCGGUUGGUUAUGAUUUCCAAAGACAGGCUUUUUUUGAGAACCAACUGAUGAAACGGUGAUGUGGAGCUCCUGCUGGCAGUGUUGAGAGGAUUAUGGCUGAGAUCCAGGCAGAGUGGAACUGAAGAUGGAGGCAGUGUGGCUGAUACGAAGGAGCGGGCAGCCUCCACACUGUCCAUCUCCAUCCCCACCACCGAGCUGGCCUUCCUCACCAGCUUGCUCAGCUUGUUGGCACCCCUAGUCCCGAUGCCUCCUCCCCAACAAACCACCACAAAGAAGAGGAAACUGGCCACUAAAGACUGGUAGAACAUCCAUAGUAGCCGAGUGCACACGUUGAUGUAUCCUGUUCUUGUAACAGUCUUUGGCCCUCCUCAGCUCCUUCUGAGUGUCUUUCUUGGUCCAUGGCUUGUUGUUUGGGAAACAGCGAAUCCUUUUGGUGGGGAUAAUGCUGUCCUCACAGAACCUGAUGUAGUCUGUGACACACUUGGCGAGACCCUCGAUGUCAUCUCUGUGGUCUUCCUGGAACAAUUCCCUGUUGGUUGUCCUAUAACACUCUAUCAUGGGCUCCUCUACUUCCCCUGACCACUGCUGCACAGUCUUGGUGGUGUUGGACUGUCUCCUCCUAACAGCAGGCCUGCAUGUAGGAAUAAGCUGUAUCAGGCAGUGGUCAGAUUUGCCGAGGGGGGGGGUGGCGCUGUAUGCCUCCUUUACAUUGGCAUACAGCAGAUCCAAGGUAUUUUCCCCUCUGGUGUUACAGGUGACAUACUGGGUAAAGUUGGUCAGGGUCCUUUAGAUUUUGGCAUGAUUCAAAUCUCUGUUUAUUAUGAUGAAUGCGCUGGGAUGAAAUGUCUGCAGGUCCGCCACGGCGCACGCCUGUGACGUCAUCUUGAUUAAGGUGGUCAAUGUGCAAUUCACUUGAUUAUUAUGUAAUUCUUUGUAAUUAUCUAUAAUUCUGCAACUCCACAAUCUUAAAACUCAUUACUAUUUAUUUAAAUUCUGUCAGCAAUGUUGUGAAAUAUGUUUACAUUUAUGUUUAGAUUUAUAUUUACUAUACUCUUACUAUAUUUCUAUUUUCCAUUUUUAUUUUUACUUUUUACUAUAUGUUAUUUCUAUUCUAUAUAUUGUGUUCGAUUUUGUAUAUAAGUACUAUUUCUUUAACGUUGUGUAAGUAGAACAACUGUAACGAAUUUCCCCCCAGGGAUCAAUAAAGUAUUUCUGAUUCUGUUA